rnacentral:rRNA from 1 species
ACGGCUCAGUAACACGUAGUCAACCUGCCCUCGGGCCGAGAAUAAUCUCGGGAAACUGAGGCUAAUGAACGAUAGAUCAAGAUUCCUGGAAUGGGUUUUGGUCUAAACGGCGCGCCAGCAUCUUGGCGUGUCCGCCCGAGGAUGGGACUGCGGCCGAUCAGGCUGUUGGUGGGGUAAAGGCCCACCAAACCAGUAACCGGUACGGGCUUUGAGAGAAGGAGCCCGGAGAUGGACACUGAGACAAGGGUCCAGGUCCUACGGGGCGCAGCAGGCGCGAAACCUUCGCAAUGCGCGCAAGCGCGACGAGGUUAUUCCGAGUGAUUUCCGCUGAGGAAAUCUUUUCUUAGAUCUAAAAAGUCUGGGGAAUAAGGGGAGGGCAAGUCUGGUGUCAGCCGCCGCGGUAAUACCAGCUCCUCGAGUGGUCAGGGCGUUUAUUGGGCCUAAAGCAUCCGUAGCCUGCUCGGUAGGUCUCCUGUUAAAUCCAACGGCUCAACCGUUGGUCUGCAGGAGAUACCGCUGGGCUAGGAGGCGGGAGAGGCGGACGGUACUCCGAGGGUAGGGGUAAAAUCCUUUGAUCCCCGGAAGA